UAUUAGACGGUCAUUACUUGUCUGUAAGUUCCCGCAGUGUCUUCACCUACGUCCGUCAUUGCAUCCCCGAAUUGUGCUAGACUCCGGGAGGAGGGGAAGUCAUUUAAGUAUUUACUAGAGAUGAGAUGUAUCUCAUAUUCUCCAACUUCUUGCUUUUACUCAGGCUACUACCUCGCUUCUCCAGGCCUGUCUACGCCUCUUCGCCCUACUCCAAGGUCGAACAGAAACUAGCCUUUAUUUCUAAGGAUCACCUAAGGUCGCUCACGCACACGCCUCACCGCUGCCUCAGGCCAGGGGCUUGACGUACCCCAAAAGCUCCUCCGGGUCACAAAGGCAGGGAACAGGCCAACUCUCUAGCCGGGACCGCUACGAAGCGAACUUCACCAUAGCGGCUACACCUGCCACACCGCUCUCAACAUCCGCGCCGGAACUAUUUAUUCCUUUGAAUUUCGGCGCGAGCAAAGGACCCCACCUCCAUUGCUUAUUUCCUGUGCUGGUGCCUAGGAGCUGCCUGUCUUUAGGGUUCAAUUUUUCCCCUACACUCGAAAGAUUAAAGCCGCAGGGCAAUAGGAAUGAGAGUCUCGAUAACGGUAGCUCCGGGGACUCCCCGGCACGGGCCUGGGCACUACAGGAGCAAGAAUACAAAUAAUGAUGUAGAAGAAUAUAGAACAAAGUCAUAUGGCUGAUCCAGAGAGAGAGGAGUUACUUUGAAGUGACUAAGAAAGCUGUCAUAAGGAAGGUGUCCUUUGGAUUGGCCCCUUAAUAACUGGAGAAGGAGAUUUGCAGUUGAAAAUGAGCCGAGGUGCAGAAGGAUGAAGGUAAAAAUUAUGUUCAAAGAAUGGCAAGUGAGCCUAUUGUUCAGAAAAGCAUAGUUGGUAUAACAUAGCA
rnacentral:lncRNA from 1 species